rnacentral:rRNA from 1 species
AAGUCGAGCGGAUGAAGAGAGCUUGCUCUCUGAUUCAGCGGCGGACGGGUGAGUAAUGCCUAGGAAUCUGCCUGGUAGUGGGGGACAACGUCUCGAAAGGGACGCUAAUACCGCAUACGUCCUACGGGAGAAAGCAGGGGACCUUCGGGCCUUGCGCUAUCAGAUGAGCCUAGGUCGGAUUAGCUAGUUGGUGAGGUAAUGGCUCACCAAGGCAACGAUCCGUAACUGGUCUGAGAGGAUGAUCAGUCACACUGGAACUGAGACAUGGUCCAGACUCCUACGGGAGGCAGCAGUGGGGAAUAUUGGACAAUGGGCGAAAGCCUGAUCCAGCCAUGCCGUGUUUUUUAAGAAGGUCUUCGGAUUGUAAAGCACUUUAAGUUGGGAGGAAGGGUUGUAGAUUAAUACUCUGCAAUUUUGACGUUACCGACAGAAUAAGCACCGGCUAACUCUGUGCCAGCAGCCGCGGUAA